AGGAAAGCAAAACAGCCUUAUUGUUGAUUUGGAGAAAGUUUGAGUGGUCUGAAUAGAAGAUCAAACAGCCAUAACAUUUCCUUAAGCCAAAGCCUAAUCCAGAACAUGUCUAAAAAUGCCCUUCCUGAACCUCUGUACUUAAUUGAUAGUUGACUAGUUACAGAGUUCUAGACUGGCAUUAGAAUUCUAAUAGGAUAGCCCCAUUAUCUUCUGGCAUGACUUCUGCUGAUAAGAAAUUCCAUGGAUAUUUAACCUUUGGAGAAUGCCAGGUGAGCAAGUUGUCACCGUAGGAAUCAGAAUGGACGUUAUCAUCCGUAGUGAGAAUGGCAAAUGGAUAAUCAACAUCAGCCCAAUUGCCAGACUAAAACAUCAUUAUGACAGACUUCAUUUGCAAGAAUUCUUAAA
rnacentral:lncRNA from 1 species